rnacentral:rRNA from 1 species
AUUGAACGCUGGCGGAAUGCUUUACACAUGCAAGUCGAACGGUAGAGGGGGCAACCCCUUGAGAGUGGCGAACGGGUGAGUAAUAUAUCGGAACGUGCCCAGUCGUGGGGAUAACGUAGCGAAAGUUACGCUAAUACCGCAUACGAUCUAAGGAUGAAAGCGGGGGACUCGCAAGAGCCUCGCGCGAUUGGAGCGGCCGAUAUCAGAUUAGGUAGUUGGUGAGGUAAAGGCUCACCAAGCCGACGAUCUGUAGCUGGUCUGAGAGGACGACCAGCCACACUGGGACUGAGACACGGCCCAGACUCCUACGGGAGGCAGCAGUGGGGAAUUUUGGACAAUGGGCGCAAGCCUGAUCCAGCAAUGCCGCGUGCAGGAUGAAGGCCUCGGUUGUAACUAGCUUUGUACGGUAACGAAACGGU